rnacentral:rRNA from 1 species
GACGAACGCUGGCGGCGUGCUUAACACAUGCAAGUCGAACGGAAAGGCGCUGCUUUUGUGGGGUUCUCGAGUGGCGAACGGGUGAGUAACACGUGAGUAACCUGCCCUUGACUUUGGGAUAACUUCAGGAAACUGGGGCUAAUACCGGAUAGGAGCUCCUGCUGCACGGUGGGGGUUGGAAAGUUUCGGCGGUUGGGGAUGGACUCGCGGGUUAUCAGCUUGUUGGUGGGGUAGUGGCUUACCAAGGCUUUGACGGCUAGCCGGCCUGGGAGCGGGACCGGCGACAUUGGGACUAAGGUACGGCCCAGACUGCUACGGGAGGCAGAAGUGGAGAGUAUUGCGCAGUGGGCGGAAGCCAGAUGCGGCAACGCCGCGUGCGGGAUGACGGCCUUCGGGUUGUAAACCGCUUUCGCCUGUGACGAAGCGUGAGUGACGGUAAUGGGUAAAGAAGCACCGGCUAACUACGUG